GACGAACGCUGGCGGCGUGCUUAACACAUGCAAGUCGAACGAAGUGGCGAACGGGUGAGUAACGCGUAAUCAACCUGCCCAUCAGAGGGGGACACCAGUUGAAAACGACUGCUAAUACCGCAUACUGAAGGAGGGGUUUGCGGCGGGUUGGCUAGUUGGAGGGGUAACGGCCCACCAAGGCGAAGAUCAGUAGCCGGGUUGGGAGGAGGAACGGGCACAAUUGGACUGGGGAACGGCCCAGACUCCUACGGGAGGCAGCAGUGGGGAAACAUCCGGAAUGGACGAAAGUCUGACGGAGCAAAGCCGCGUGAGUGAUGACGGCCUUCGGGUUUGAAAGCUCUGUUAAUCGGGACGCGGUACCGGAAUAGAAAGCCACGGCUAACUACGUGCCAGCAGCCGCGGUAAUAC
rnacentral:rRNA from 1 species